UACGUAGGCAGCAAGCGUUGUUCGGAUUUACUGGGCGUAAAGGGUGCGUAGGCGGUUGUUUAAGUUUGGUGUGAAAUCUCCCGGCUCAACCGGGAGGGUGCGCCGAAUACUGAACGGCUAGAGUGCGGGAGAGGAGAGUGGAAUUCCCAGUGUAGCGGUGAAAUGCGUAGAUAUUGGGAGGAACACCAGUGGCGAAGGCGGCUCACUGGACCGGUACUGACGCUGAGGCGCGAAAGCGUGGGGAGCAAACGGG
rnacentral:rRNA from 1 species